rnacentral:misc_RNA from 1 species
UUUAUUUAUUGCUUGUUUUCUCUGACUUUACAUAAUAUAGAGUAUGAAACUCCGGCAAGCACGCAUCGACCUCCAUCGAUGACCGUGCGACCAGUGUCUUGCCGAAGCAACACCACAUGUUCAAGGGUGGGAGUUCCUGCAGAGCAGGAGGACUCGGUAAUGAUCCUUCCGCAGGUUCACCUACGGAAA